CCUACGGGUGGCUGCAGUGGGGAAUAUUGGACAAUGGGCGAAAGCCUGAUCCAGCCAUGCCGCGUGUGUGAAGAAGGCCUUCGGGUUGUAAAGCACUUUCAGUGGGGAAGAAAGCCUUGGGGCUAAUACCCUCGAGGAAGGACAUCACCCACAGAAGAAGCACCGGCUAACUCCGUGCCAGCAGCCGCGGUAAUACGGAGGGUGCGAGCGUUAAUCGGAAUUACUGGGCGUAAAGCGCGCGUAGGCGGUCUGAUAAGCCGGUUGUGAAAGCCCCGGGCUCAACCUGGGAACGGCAUCCGGAACUGUCAGGCUAGAGUGCAGGAGAGGAAGGUAGAAUUCCCGGGGUAGCGGUGAAAUGCGUAGAGAUCGGGAGGAAUACCAGUGGCGAAGGCGGCCUUCUGGACUGACACUGACGCUGAGGUGCGAAAGCGUGGGUAGCAAACAGGAUUAGAUACCCCUGGUAGUC
rnacentral:rRNA from 1 species